rnacentral:rRNA from 1 species
CUUUUUUUUGUAACAAGGUUUCCGUAGGUGAACCAGCGGAGGGAUCAUU